rnacentral:sRNA from 1 species
GCGACGUCGACUGCUUUCCAUUCUGUCCGC